rnacentral:rRNA from 1 species
GACGAACGCUGGCGGCGUGCCUAAUACAUGCCAGUAGAACGCACAGUUUAUACCGUAGCUUGCUACACCAUAAACUGUGAGUUGCGAACGGGUGAGUAACGCGUAGGUAACCUGCCUGGUAGCGGGGGAUAACUAUUGGAAACGAUAGCUAAUACCGCAUAAUAUUGAUUAUUGCAUGAUAAUUGAUUGAAAGAUGCUAUUGCAUCACUACCAGAUGGACCUGCGUUGUAUUAGCUAGUAGGUGAGGUAACGGCUCACCUAGGCGACGAUACAUAGCCGACCUGAGAGGGUGAUCGGCCACACUGGGACUGAGACACGGCCCAGACUCCUACGGGAGGCAGCAGUAGGGAAUCUUCGGCAAUGGACGAAAGUCUGACCGAGCAACGCCGCGUGAGUGAAGAAGGUUUUCGGAUCGUAAAGCUCUGUUGUAAGAGAAGAACGGGGGUGAGAGUGGAAAGUUCACACUGUGACGGUAUCUUACCAGAAAGGGACGGCUAACUACGUG